UGGUGGAGUGAUUUGUCUGCUUAAUUGCGAUAACGAACGAGACCUUAACCUGCUAAAUAGUAAGGGACCCUCUUGGGUUUUCUUGCUUCUUAGAGGGACUAUCGAAUCAAAGUCGAUGGAAGUUUGAGGCAAUAACA
rnacentral:rRNA from 1 species